GUGCUCACUUUGGCAGCACAUAUACUAAAA
rnacentral:snRNA from 1 species